rnacentral:rRNA from 1 species
GAUGAACGCUGACGGAAUGCUUAACACAUGCAAGUCGACCUGAAUUUGGGUUUUUAUCUUCGGUUUGGGUGGCGGACGGGCGAGUAACGCGUAAAUAAAUUGCCUCCCAGUUAGGCACAACAUUUGGCAACGAAUGCUAAUACCUAAUAUUAUGUUAAUAGGGCAUCCUAUAACUAUGAAAGCUAUAAGCGCUGUGAGAGCGCUUUGCGUCCCAUUCGCUAGUUGGAGAGGUAACGGCUCACCAAGGAGAUGAUGGGUAGCCGGCCUGGGAGUGUGAUCGGCCACAAGGGGACUGGGACAGCACCAGUACGGCAUCGUGAGGCAUCAGCGGAAGAUAGAGGAAGAUGGACCGAGAGUGUGAUGCAGGAAUUCUGUGUGCACGAUGAAGUUUUUCGGAAUGAAAAGUUCUGUCAGUUAGGAAGAAAGAAAUGACGGUACCAACAGAAGAAGCGACGGCUAAAUACGUG